UUCGAAGAAAGCGACGGGUGCCGGAUCCAGACUUCAUUCCCCAAAACCAAAAUAAUCGCCACCGCUCUCCGCACCGAACCGAAGCAGCGGCGAUGUCGGCGGAGAAGCCGGCUCCCGUGCGCGUGCUCUACUGCGGCGUCUGCGGCCUCCCGGCCGAGUACUGCGAGUUCGGCCCCGACUUCGAGCGCUGCAAGCCCUGGCUGCGCGCGCACGCGCCCGGCGUCUACCCCGACGACCUUGUCGCCGCCUCCUCCUCACCCGGCGGCGGCGACAAGGACGUCGACAAGGUCGGGGAUCGCCUCCAGGGCGUCGGGAUCUCCGACGGCUCCACCAGCGCCGCAGGGGAUGCUUCCGCGUCUAAGCCCCAAGAGGCGAAACGCCUGCCUGGUGGUAAGCUCAAGAAAAAGGAGAAGCAAGAAGUGGUCAUUGAGAAGAUUGUCCGUAACAAGCGCAAAUGUGUUACUGUGGUGAAAGGGCUUGAAUUGUUUGGUGUAAAGCUUAGUGAUGCUUCGAAGAAGCUUGGGAAGAAGUUUGCAACCGGAGCUUCUGUUGUUAAGGGCCCUACGGAGAAGGAGCAAAUCGACGUACAAGGGGACAUCUCAUAUGAUAUUGUGGAGUUCAUUACAGAUACAUGGCCUGAUGUACCUGAGUCGGCCAUUUUCUUCAUUGAAGAUGGAAGGAAGGUUCCUGCUGCUUGAUGCCAUAUGGUUUAUAAGGCACGAGACCAAUGGAUUUACAAAUAUAAUACAGAGUCCCAGGAAUGGUAUCAGCCAUCAAAGAGAUGUUCAUGAAGACAACCAACCACCAGCAUAUGCUCAACUACCACUUGCUUCACUUCACCUCCAUGUUUUCACGUUGGCCAAUACUGAGGUUGAGCAAUAGAUGAACUGGCAUUGAUUGAUGCUAGCGAUCAGUUGUGAAAUUAAUCUACACACCUCCCCAAUCUUUUUUUUGAUGUAAUGACCUCCCCAAUCUAGAUAUUACGAACUGUAAAUUUCGGUGCUAUUAUUGAAAAAAGGACAAUGCGGUGGUGGGAUA